UGGGGAAUAUUGCACAAUGGGCGCAAGCCUGAUGCAGCGACGCCGCGUGAGGGAUGAAGGCCUUCGGGUUGUAAACCUUUUUCGCUUUUGACCAAGUGCCCAUGUUGGUGGGUGUGAGGGUAUGGGGUAAAGAAGCACCGGCUAACUACGUGCCAGCAGCCGCGGUAAUACGUAGGGUGCGAGCGUUGUCCGGAAUUAUUGGGCGUAAAGGGCUUGUAGGUGGCGUGUCGCGUCUGUCGUGAAAGGCUCCGGCUUAACUGGAGUAGUGCGGUGGGUACGGGCAUGCUUGAGUGUGGUAGGGGAGAUUGGAAUUCCUGGUGUAGCGGUGGAAUGCGCAGAUAUCAGGAGGAACACCGGUGGCGAAGGCGGAUCUCUGGGCCAUUACUGACGCUGAGGAGCG
rnacentral:rRNA from 1 species